GCUGCAGAGUAAUGGAAAGAUGAGAAAGAGAAAAACAAUUCUGGCAGCAGUCACCUCUACCAUCUCUAGAACGCUUAAAGGCACCACCCAAAAAGCUAAAGAAUAAGGACUCUCCAUUGCUCUGCAGCCUGCCUAUUUUCUGCCCUGAAUGAAUCAAAAGGAAUAAGUUUGCUCAUUAUCACUUCAAUUGGAAUUUGAGGCUACAUAAACCAGAGGCUGCAGUCGGUUGAAGAGGAAAGUUAGGGCAAUUCUUCAGUGACUUUGUGAAGAAGGUUUUCAUCCUGCAUUUUCUUAAGGAAAGAGUUCAACCUUCCCUCCCUCCAGUUUUUCACCAUCACAACAACUCUAACAGUGGAUGAUUGAUCGUGCCCGCCAGCUGCCUAAUAUCAUAAUUAACAAAGUUGCUACCGUGUCUGAGAAGUUUAAUCGAAAAAAAUUGCCAACACUGUGAUGCUGUUGUUACCCAUAAAGAUCAGAAGCAGGGCAAAGUCGACUUUUGGACUAAUGGAGCUGCAGAACUAUGUGGGCAGAAUAAGAAGUAGAGCACCUGAAUGGAUAAUGUAAGAAGAUAGUAUACUAAAAAGGACCAUGAUACAGUCUGACUGUGUUACUUUGAACACCAAAAUUACUUUCUAGAAUUCAGAAUGGAAAAAGAUAUCUGCAAAGGAAUUUCAGAACUAUUAUCAAAACGAUUAAAAAAUAGCCUUAACAGAUACUUAGAUAUGGUUUCCAAGCAGUUCGUUACAUUUUAAGUGAAAUGAAGAAAGUCAAUUUGGAGUAAUCAGAUGUGUGGAUUGAGAGGUGCUUUUGGAACAAAGCAGAACCCAAAUCCUGGGAAAAGAAGAUAGUCGAUUCACCUGUGAGGAAGACUUUCUAUAGGAAAAGUCAACAUGUCCUCCAACAUUGUUUGCAGUCAGUUAUCAAAAUAGGGCCACAGAAAUACGGAGAUCACUGUAUAUGGAGGCUAAUAAUGAAGGAGUCAGUGAAAGAGCCAGUGCCAUGAGAGUUAUCUCAUGGCCCCAGAUGCUGGAUAAGUUGAAGAAGGCAGAAAUCACUUCUGGAUGACAUUCAGGUCUGAAUGAUGAUUUGAAGAAGAAAAGACUGUUAUUUCCAAGCUUCAGCAAUAUAUUCCUGAGACAAAAGAUCCACUCCAUGCUCCAUCACGCCUAAAAAAGAAGCUUUGAAGAAAUUGCUAGGCUUACUUACAAUGAGAGAAAUUACGCACACAGCAGAAAAUGAAAAAAGGCACAUAGAUACUGUGAAUACUUCAGAAAAGUGCCAAAGACCUGGUUGAGAAAUGGCUUCACAAGGUCCACUGACUCCACAAAACCUGAGAAGAAUUGCUCCAGUUAAGUGGAUUAGAUAUCAAAUUACAGAUGAAUUGACCGUCUACCUUUGUCGGUAUUAGAGUUAUACGCACAACAUUCAAGGACACAUCUUAACUACUUCGUCAUGUUGCCUUUCAUCUCUGAAGCUGUUUAAUUAAUCUGAAGAUAAAGGUGCCUUGCAAUUUAUAUGCCAUCAAAAUUAUUCCUGGAAUGUGUAACAGAAAAUCACCACAGAAGUCUUGUGGUCAUCUGUUAAUUUAUGAUUUUUUAUAGUUGCAUAGAAUAUUGAGAGGAAUUAGGGCUGGCCCUGCCAUUAGAUUGAUUGACAUGGCCAUUCAGGUGAUGAGGAAAGAUGGGGCAUUGCUUCAAAACCAAGCUCAUUUGUUUACCUGUUCACCUACCUGCCAGCAGCAGUCUGCCACUCCUCCUUGCUACCAGGUUCCUCCCAUACUCCUUGCUAAGGGCAGUGCCUUGUUCUAGAAUGACAAACUACAGUGAUGCUAUUCCUUCCCUUUGAGGCCAAAUUCUUUGUUCUGAAUACUUCUUCUCAAUGAGGCAUUGAGAGCUAGGUAUAGCAGCACAGAUGACUAGCUUCCACUGUGCCUUCUUCUGAACACUUGGCAAAUGGCUGCUUGACCUUACUCUGUCAAGGGAGCUAAGAUCUAUAGAUUAUUAUAUUUUAAUACAGACUCUUCUGAAGUAAGACACUUUUUCCAAUUCUCCUUUUCUUCUCUCCCCAUUUUCUUACUACAUCUUUGCAAUAGUGUAUCAAAUUCGAAUUUGCAGCUAUGAUAUUUUAUUGUGAGAUGCUCUCUGGAAGUGCCCUAAUGAUGUGCAUGCCUUGGAAAGGAAAUCAGUUGAAGAGACUUAAAUUUCAAGACUGCACCAUGAGUAUAACUUAUCCUGCAUAUUGUUUGUUUAAAUUGCAUAAGUGUAAGCUAGGAACACCAGUAAGUGAAAUACUGCAGUACACUCUGUUCUGAGAAUAGCAGUGUAAUGAGGAACUGUGCUUUAUAGCACUAUCCACUUGCUAUUUGAUAUCAUAGAGAAUUACAAUAAUUUAUGACACUGGAACUUAGCUGUGCAAUGACCUUGAAGGACUGAAGGAGUUGGGGGAUGUACUUGUUGAAGAAAUAAAUAUAAAUGUGGAGCAAUCAACCCUAUCUAUAUUCAAGAAAUGCAUAGAUUUUUAAUUUGGUCAAGCUAUAUGAAAUAAUAAACUUUGCAAAAAUCUGUUUUAAAAAUAUGAAGAAUGCUCAAAAUAUCACAAUUAUUAUAAACUGUUGCAAAUGGAUCUUAUAAAUAUUAUUUCAGUUAAGAAAGAAUAUUUAAUAAUUUAAUACUUGUGAUUGAAAAAAAAGUCUAACAUUCAAAAUCUUCAUCAUUCUCUCAUUGGACAGAUUUUAAAAGUCAGAUUGUUUUUUAACUGCAGUAUUUUCUAAAUUCUCUUCCCUAAAAUACUGCCUGUUCUCUUAGUUAUUUAAUAAAUAUGGCUACUGUUGACUUUUGGAUUAUAAACGCUUCUCUGCCAUUAUCUUUAAAUGUGUAAUAAUUUCUAAGAAUAACUUUAAAAUGAAUGUCUUUGUAUUAA